rnacentral:rRNA from 1 species
GGGUCAGUAGGUUGGUCGUGCCACCGGUCCGUACUGGUCUCACUGAUUCCUCCUUCCUGAAGAACCGUUAUGCCAUUAAUUUGGUGUUGCGGGGAAACAGGACUGUUACUUUGAAAAAAUUAGAGUGUUUAAAGCAAGCUAACGCUUGAAUACAUUAGCAUGGAAUAAUGAAAUAGGACGAUCGAUCCUAUUUUGUUGGUUUCUAGGAUUGACGUA